CGUGAGUAACCUGCCCUGGAGUGGGGAAUAACAGCUGGAAACAGGCUGCUAAUACCGCAUAAUGCAGUUGGGCCGCAUGGCUCUGACUGCCAAAGAUUUAUCGCUCUGGGAUGGACUCGCGUCUGAUUAGCUAGUUGGUGGGGCAACGGCCCACCAAGGCGACGAUCAGUAGCCGGACUGAGAGGUUGGCCGGCCACAUUGGGACUGAGACACGGCCCAGACUCCUACGGAAGGCAGCAG
rnacentral:rRNA from 1 species